AACAACAGAGUAAUCGAUUUGUCUUGCUCAUAUGAAAGGAAUUUAAAACGCAACUAUAUUAAGAAACUUAAAUGGUUUUUUAAGUGCCAGAACAUAAGGUCACGCAAAAGAGAGACUUAAUUUAUAAUGACUUGGGGUGAUGAUAUAAAAUUACUGAUGUGCAUAAAGGGAAUAACAGACUGACAGACAAAGACAAAAUAUUUUAUUCUUCUUCUGUUGUAGAUAUUUAAACAAUUGAACAUGAGAUUAUCAGUAACCCCUUUUGGGCUGAAGAAGACAUUUGUUACUCCAUUGCUAAUUGUAUUCACACUGGUUAAUGGUUGAUGUGAGUCGUAUUUUAAAAAUUAAUAUAUAUUAAAAGUAUUUCAGGAUAAAUGUUUAUAGAUGUAAAGUUUAACUAAGUCAUAAAGUGUAUUAAAAAUAAGCAUUUUAAUGACUUGUUUUUGGAAAUCUCAAUUUGAUAUAUCCAAUGUACAAUACAUUAAAAAUUCUUCUUAAUUGGAUCAUUGAACUGACUUUGAAGGUUUAUGAAAGUUAUCCAAGGAUUAAUAUUUUUUACCCAGUUCUCACAUCAUUUCAUUUGUUAUUCUAACCACAUCUAUGAAACUCCACUUACUGACUUCAGGUAGACUAUUUUUAAAACAAUUUGGAUUUGCUGCCUCAUGCCAGACAUUUUGAUUCAACAUGACAUUUUUGAUUAAAUGAAAGUUUUAUAUUAUUGUGGUGUUUGUUGAGUACAUUCUAUUCUGCUUAUGUACUGGACCAAGUCAAGGCAUAACUACAGAACAAGCUAUUAUUAUGUUUGUGCUAUUUGUAUUUAUGUUUAAGGAUUUCCUGAAUAUGUGACAUGUUCAGUAUGACUGGUUUUUAUAAUGUGAUUAUGUGAUGUGUGCUGUUCUGAAGUGUUUCUACAAAUUUUGUGUAGGUGUUGUGGUAUGACAUCUAUGCAAGAAAGAACUAUUGGCACAAUACUUUAUUCAUUCUCUACAGAUGGUUUUUGUAUGCAAGUUUUGAGUAUUUACUAAUUUUUUUCAGUGUAUGUAUUUGUAUAUUUUGUAUGUUUGCUACAGUUGUAUCUAUGUGAUUUUUUUUUUUUUUUUAGUUUGUCAAUGAAUGUGAUACCUGGUCUGUUGUGAUGGAUUGUUUUGUCUAUUAUUAUGGCUUGAUUAUAGUACAUUUUGUAUGUUUUCUAAGACCAUCUUGUGUGUAUAUUUAUAGUAUGAUGCUGGGUAUUUAGUAGUUUGUGUAUAAGGUUUUAUGUAUUAUAUUUAUUUGGUUAUGUCAAUAUGAAUAGUUUGGGUUGCAAUCUUUUAGCACAAACAAUGUGAUGUGUUGUAUAGUUUCAGGCAUAAUGUGACAUUUACUAAAAGUAUUGUCUGUAAGUGUUUUAAAAUGUGCCUCCUUUAAUUUUUUUGUAUUUUUGGCCUAGUCUUGUAUGGCAACUAUAAACCCUUUUGUGUCUCCAAGAGUCAUCCAUAAGUCAGCUAGUAGUUAGAUGCAGUUCUGUCAAUGUGAUUCUGGUUGAGUGUGUUAGGUUGUCUAUUAUGAAGCUUUUCCUGAAUACAUUCAGGAGAAGCUUCAUAAUAGAAAGACUGCCAGAUGGUGUCUGUUCAUUUCGUAUAUUGUGUGUGAGGUCAGUGUUGUGUAUUGCAGUAUCUGUAUUUAUUUUUAGUAAAAAUUUAGUAUAUCUGUAGGUAUGUAAGGUAAUAGUCUGUCUGUCUAUGUAGCUUCUCCGAGCCGGAGGUUGCUAACAACUGAUCGCCACUCUUCCCGAUCUCUUGCAGCGUGAAUUAGUUGAUUCUUAUUAAUUUGAGUCCACUCCACUAUAUCUCGUAGAUAGGUCCUCUGCUGUAUUUUUUGGGAAUGGGUUCUUUGGAUCCUGCCCUGCAGUAUGAUGAGAAGCAGUGGCCCAGAUGGCGUGGCCACAGUACAGUACCUCAUUUUGCUAUGAUGGGAAGCAGCUGUCAUUUUCCCACCCCAGUCCGUACCAACAUGCGUGCAUUGGUCACCCACUGUGUCCGGCUUAUCCAUAGCAAGCAGUGAUAGCACCACAUCUUGAAUGCUGCCAGCCUUUUCUCUAUGCCCUUAUUCAGGGUCCACGUCUCACAUCCAUACAGCAAGAUAGACCAUACAUAGCAGCGUAGUACUUUAAGCUUUAUCUCCAGGCUUAGUUUCUUAUCUGUAAAUGUUUGCUGGAGAUUAAAGAAGGCUGCUUUCGCCAUUUGGAUUCAUGUUCGGAUUUCCUUAUCACAUCUACCAUCUCUUGUUAUAAUGGCUCCAAGAUAUUUAAAUUUGGUUGCUUCUUCCAGUAAAGUACUGUCUACAAAUAUUUGGGAAUUGCCAGUCAUGGAGUCUUUCCUAAUUCUUAUCCAUUUCAUCUUUUUCCCAUUGAUACACAUGCCAUAUUUUGCGCUGUCUGCCUGGAGUGAGUUUAGUAUCUGUUGGAGCUCCAUCACGGAUGUGGCAAUGCAUGCAAGAUCGUCGGCAUACUGGAUGUUAUUGAUAUUCACUCCUUUGACCUUGAUUCCCACAUUCCUGCAGAAACAUUUCUGUGUGUUAUCUGUUUGGAGAAGACAUUAAAAAGUGUGGAUAUCUGGCACGGUGCUGUUUCUAUGUCGUCCAGCCUAACUAUGGCAGUCUGGUCCCAGUACAGGUUGCCAAUCAGUUUGUAGUCAUUUGUGUCCAGAUUGACUCUCUUUAACGUUUCCAUUAAAAGUGGGUGUUGUACUUUGUCAAAAGCUUUUUCAUAAUCGAUAAACCAAAUGUAUAACUCCCUUUGCAUUUCUAUGGCUCUUUCUGAUAAAAUUCUCACAGCAAAUAGUGCAUCAAAAGUGCCUAUUCCAGGCCUAAACCCAAAUUGCGAUGGUCCUAACUGAGCCUCCGUUUUGUUUCUUAUUCAAUAUCCUAUAAUUUUUAGUAAUGAGUUUUAGCCUAUGGUUCAUUAGACUUAUGGUUUAGAAUUGGUCACACUUUCAUCCUUGGGAUCAGGAUGAAAGUGGAUCUUUUGAAGUUGUGUGGUAGCUGUCCAUCUUUAGAUUUUAUUAAAAAGAUCUAGUAGUGAUAGUUUUGCAAACAUGUCCAAGGAUUUUAGGAGCUCUGCUGGGAUGUCAUUAUCACCAGGAGCUUUUCCACAUCUCAUGGAGUCCAUGGCACAUUCUAAUUCUCUUAGUAUAAUAGGAGGGGGCAGCAUCUCCUUCUGUUGAAUGAACCUGGGGAUGUCUGUUGUGAUUUCCAAACAAAAUUUUUAUGUAUUCUGCCAAGUUUUAGCUCUUUCUUACUUUCCACAUUUCAUUUUGUUCUGUUGUUCUAUUAAAUUUGUUACUCCCUUCUUUGUUUUCUUCAGUUCCUUCAUGGUUUCUUUGAUGAUUCUAUGGACUUUUCUGGUAUGGUACUUUUUCUUGUGCUCCGCUAUUCUUUCACAUUUUUCUUUGAACCACUUUUCUUUAGCUUUGGCACAUUCCUGCUUGAUCAUCCGAUGAAGUCUUUUGUAUUCUCCAGGGUUUUGGUUCUUAAACUUUCUGCGCUCACCCAUCAGUGUCAAAAUGUCCUCUGUGAUCCAAGGGUUCUUCUGCUCUUUUUCCUUUUUGUUAAGUAGGAUACAGGCAGCAUUCUUAAUUGCACUUUUUAUGUUUUCCCAGUGUUUUUCUAUAGAGGGUAUGUCUUUAUCUUGAAUUUUUUUUGUAACCGCCUCACUGAAAUGUUGCCUGACCUCACAUAUUUUCAGCUUGUCAAAGUUGUAAUGUAAUUUCUUUUUGAUAUUUUUUGUAAUUUUCUUUAAGUGAAUGGUGUGCCUGGUGUGAAGUAAAUUAUGAUCAGUGUAGCAGUCGGCUGAAGGCCUAGUUUUAACAUUGAGAAUUGAGUUUCUGUAUCGUUUGUUGAUCAGGAUGAAGUCUAUUUGAUUUUGUACUAUUCUGUUUUCUCUGUCUUGAGGACUUUUCCAUGUGUACAGUCUUCGUGGAUGUUGUUUGAACCACAUGUUUGUGAUACAUAGGUCAUGGCAUUCUGCAAAUUCAACAAUUAUAUCUCCAUAUUCAUUUCUUUCACCUGGUCCAUAGUUGCCUACUGUGUCAGUUACUCUGCCGUUUCCAACUUUGGCAUUGAAGUCUCCCAUUAUUAUUUUGACGUCUCCUCUCUUUGCAAGUCCGAGUGUCUUCUCAAGCUGUUUGUAGAAUUCGUUUAUGACUUCUUUCGGGGAAGCUUCUGUUGGUGCGUACACUUGAAUAAUGCUUAUAGCCGUGGGGUAUGAUGCUAUGCACAGAAAGAGAAUGCGGUCUGAUAUUGCUGCUACUUCGUUGACAGCUUUUGUGAUGUCUUUCCCGAUGAGCAUUCCAACACCUCUUUUGUGUCAAUCUCCUCCAGAGAAAACAGUCAUAGGUGUCAUUGUUUUUUAUCCAACUGUUGUUGGUCCAUUUCAUCUCACUAACACCGAGGGUGUCCCUCUUCAGUUCUGCUUCUAAUACAAGGUUAUGUAAUUUGCCUUUGGCAUACAGCUUUCUUACAUUCCACGUGCCUAUGUUGUUUAUGUUCCUUGUGAUGAUUUUUGGGGUAUUGUUUAUUCUUUAGUUUCCAGUAGUCGAUUUGCUGCAUAUAGCCUGGUCACUCACUGAUAUGCACCUAGUAUCAUAUUUCUCACUAUCUGACCUGGACUCAGAAUGGCGCUGAUGGCCAGUCGGAUUGCAUGGCAGACUAGGCGCAUGUUGAAAUGAGAUCAUGAGGGUUGUAGAUACAUUUGUAUACUAGGAAUAAGUAAUGUUGUGUUUUCCCAUUACCGUCCACAUCGCAGAACUGGAACCAAUUUUGACCAAUACAAUCUUGCUUCCAGCUUCCUGGUCACAAGCCUUUCUAAUGAAUAGUGUGUUCAGAACUGGCCUUGCUGCUUCCCAAGACCAGGGACAUUUUUUGACGUCCAGUCAGAUCCACCGUGUUUUGCAUUAACAGUGGCACCUCGAGUAGGGUGUGAUUUUUCACCAUGCAUGAGCAGUCUUGGCAAGAGUGAGGCUGACGAACUAAGUAGUUUGUAAUUACUUCUUGUGCCCUAGGUAAUAGUAACAAUGUCUUUAUUGACAUUAAUAUAUUUAAAAUUAAUCAUUUAAAAGAAUUCAUACAUAGAGAAUAAUCUAAAAUUCAGGGUUGGAGUAAACCAUCAACUUUUAAUUUUCGUAUGAUUUAAAAUUUAAUUUUAAAACAUUAUUGGAAACUUCAAAAUUUUAUGUAGAGGAACAUAGUUUGUUUUAAUCAUCAUUCCAGCUAUAUUGGUGAAAAAUUUUUAAAUAUUUAAUCAUAAUAAAAUGGAAAUUCAAUUAAUAAUUUAAAUCAUAAAAUAUUUAAAUUUUCAGUAAAUUAUUCUGUUAACUUUAAUAAAAAAAUUGACCAAUUGGGAAGUGAGAUUGUUUUUUCUGGAUAUUCUGCACAGGGUACUGGAAAACUUGAGUAUAAAGUAUGUAAAAAUUUGCUCUGUCCUGUGAACUUCUAUUUAAUUGUUUUUUAUAGUUGGGUAAUUUAAUAAUUAGUUUAUGACCAAAAACAGAACACUGAAAGACUAUGUUGAGAUUUUUAAAUUUUCAUCAUUAUUUGAAGAUUCAGUAGGGGAAAACACUCAUAAAGUUAUGUUUAUGAAGCAAAAUAAAUAACAUCUUCAGUAACAGAUAAAGGAUCAACUAAAUCGAACAGUUGACAGUUUUCAUUAAAUACAAUUUCUGGAGUGUACAUCAUAGAAAAUGGGCUAAAAUUUGAAGUGUGAUUUUUAAAUUGAAACAAUGAGAAUGAAAAAGCAAAUAAUCCAAUUACUACUAGAAAAAGGAUGAAUUAUCUAUAGCAAGAAAUAAUACAGGAAUCAUCAACACUGAACAGAAAGGAAACUGAAUAAUUGUAAUGGAUGAUAUAAAAAUUAAAAAAAAAGAAAGAAAUUUGUAGGAUUUGAAU
rnacentral:lncRNA from 1 species